rnacentral:rRNA from 1 species
GACGAACGCUGGCGGCGUGCUUAACACAUGCAAGUCGAACGGAAAGGCCUCUUUCGGGGGGUACUCGAGUGGCGAACGGGUGAGUAACACGUGAGUAACCUGCCCUUGACUUUGGGAUAACUUCAGGAAACUGGGGCUAAUACCGGAUAGGAGCUCCUGCUGCAUGGUGGGGGUUGGAAAGUUUCGGCGGUUGGGGAUGGACUCGCGGCUUAUCAGCUUGUUGGUGGGGUAGUGGCUUACCAAGGCUUUGACGGGUAGCCGGCCUGAGAGGGUGACCGGCCACAUUGGGACUGAGAUACGGCCCAGACUCCUACGGGAGACAGCAGUGGGGAAUAUUGCACAAUGGGUGGAAGCCUGAUGCAGCAACGCCGUGUGCGGGAUGACGGCCUUCGGGUUGUAAACCGCUUUCGCUCAUGACGAAGCUUUGUGUGACGGUAGUGGGUAAAGAAGCACCGGCUAACUACGUG